AUUGAACGCUGGCGGCAUGCCUUACACAUGCAAGUCGAACGGCAGCAUAGGAGCUUGCUCCUGAUGGCGAGUGGCGAACGGGUGAGUAAUAUAUCGGAACGUGCCCUAGAGUGGGGGAUAACUAGUCGAAAGACUAGCUAAUACCGCAUACGAUCUACGGAUGAAAGUGGGGGAUCGCAAGACCUCAUGCUCCUGGAGCGGCCGAUAUCUGAUUAGCUAGUUGGUGGGGUAAAAGCCUACCAAGGCAACGAUCAGUAGCUGGUCUGAGAGGACGACCAGCCACACUGGGACUGAGACACGGCCCAGACUCCUACGGGAGGCAGCAGUGGGGAAUUUUGGACAAUGGGGGCAACCCUGAUCCAGCAAUGUCGCGUGAGUGAAGAAGGCCUUCGGGUUGUAAAGCUCUUUUGUCAGGGAAGAAACGGUAGUAGCUAAUAUCUAUUACUAAUGACGGUACCUGAAGAAUAAGCACCGGCUAACUACGUGCCAGCCGCCGCCGUAAAAC
rnacentral:rRNA from 1 species